GAUGAACGCUGGCGGCGUGCCUAAUACAUGCAAGUCGAGCGAAUGGAUUAAGAGCUUGCUCUUAUGAAGUUAGCGGCGGACGGGUGAGUAACACGUGGGUAACCUGCCCAUAAGACUGGGAUAACUCCGGGAAACCGGGGCCAAUACCGGAUCACAUUUUGAACCGCAUGGUUCGAAAUUGAAAGGAGGCUUCGGCUGUCACUUAUGGAUGGACCCGCGUCGCAUUAGCUAGUUGUGGAGGUAACGGCUCACCAAGGCAACGAUGCGUAGCCGACCUGAGAGGGUGAUCGGCCACACUGGGACUGAGACACGGCCCAGACUCCUACGGGAGGCAGCAGUAGGGAAUCUUCCGAAAUGGACGAAAGUCUGACGGAGCAACGCCGCGUGAGUGAUGAAGGCUUUCGGGUCGUAAAACUCUGUUGUUAGGGAAGAACAAGUGCUAGUUGAAUAAGCUGGCACCUUGACGGUACCUAACCAGAAAGCCACGGCUAACUACGUGCCAGCAGCCGCGGUAA
rnacentral:rRNA from 1 species